UCGUGCUAGACGGGGAGCUAGCGGUGCCCUGUAACCCGAAAUCCGCUCAUGCGGGGUUGAAAAUCCUUCAGGAAGGCCUUGAUCCAAAUUGAUCCUUCGCCGCAUUUGGGGUUGACAUGGACCUCACGUAACAGACGCUUACGAACCCCGUCAGAUCCGGGAGGAAGCAGCGGUAAGUAAGAAGGGCUGUGUCGUGAUGACAUCUAUGUCAUUUCUCCAGGUGGCAAGGACAAUUCGGUCUUUGCUGGAACGGAGGAUGCGCGG
rnacentral:SRP_RNA from 2 species